rnacentral:rRNA from 1 species
CCCUUAGACGUUCUGGGCCGCACGCGCGCUACACUGACCAGUGCAACAAGCAUCCGUCCUUGGCCGACAGGCCCGGGGAAUCUUUGAACGCUGGUCGUGAUGGGGAUAGACUUUUGCAAUUUUUGGUCUUCAACGAGGAAUUCCUAGUAAACGCAAGUCAUCAACUUGCAUUGAUUACGUCCCUGCCCUUUGUACACACCGCCCGUCGCACCUACCGAUUGAAUGGUCCGGUGAAGCCUCCGGAUUGGCGCGCACCUCGGUGCCGCCGAGAAGUUGGCUAAACCUUACCAUUUAGAGGAAGGUGAAGUCGUAACA